UUUUUUUUUAAAAUAAAACGGUGACUCAUAAAUCGUAAUCAGAGGAAGAGAUAAACUGAUUUGGUUAGACUCGAUUGAGGAUUGUCGUAAGGAUUGAGAUUUUGACAGUACAAUUAGACUCUCUGUUGACGAUGUUUAUAUGUGUAAUUUAAUUACAUAAGCACUCGUCAAAUUUCAAGCGAAAAUGAGCUAAAACGGAGAAGUUACGCGAUUAUUAGUUUUCACUUAAGUGAAUAGUAACUCCGGUUUCCCGG
rnacentral:lncRNA from 1 species